UCAUUUCUUCUCUCAAUAAGGAAGAUCCACUCCAGAAUCAAAAUCCUACUAAAAAUCAGAAAUAUUUAGCUGAGCAGAUCUCGAUCUAGUUAUUACCAAGCAAAAAACAAUUAACUCAUAAAAAAGUCUUGUAGCCAGAAUAAUCUGUAGAAGUUUUUAAGCUCCUAUUCAAUUUCCUGCUGUAUUCUUAGAAGAUAUUUCAAGUGAUUUAUUCAGCAUGUAUUGUUACUAAAUUAUUUAGUUAUUCUCUAAUAGAGAAAUUCACUCCUUUGUAAACUUUUAUGUGCUUAUAAAUAAACAAGUUUUAUGUUACUAAUCUUUCCUUAUGAAUCAAGUUUCUUUUUUAUUUGUUCUUAAGGAAUAUUUUCAAUCUGUGAAGAAUAAAAUUAAGCUCUAGAGAAAAACUGAAGUUUCUAGAAAAACCCAAAAGCCCUGAAAAAGGACUCAGAGUGCCAAGUUUUACUCCUAAAGAAUUGUUUUAGUCAAAAGAUAGGCGUUUUAGGGAAGAAGAAAGGCUUUGUGUUGGGAUUUGCAUGCCCCUAAGGGAAGAAGGUUUUGAAAAAACUUUGGUUUUAAUUGAAAAGUUAGAUUUUAAACUCUAAACUUUUAGAAAACAAUUUUCAGAAGAAACCUAAUUUUCGUUAGUAUUUGGACAAAAUAAUUUGUUAUCCAAUUUGACAGAAGUUUGGAAAAGAAUUGGGGAGUAUCUAGUAGAGGAAAAUAAUUGUUUAUAAGAUUGUUAGAUGUUAAAACUUAACUUGCAUGCCUUUAGACAAUUAUACUUGUUUUAUUUUAUAGCACUAUUUUGUUGAAGCAUUUAGCAAAUAUAUUAAACAACUUGAUAAUUUAGGAAGAUUAGUGUAAUAGAAAGUCAUAUAGAUUGUAAUAUUAAACUUAGAAUUAUCGCCAAUAGAAGAAUAGAAAUAACAUUUAACCAGAGAUAUAAUAUAGGAUAUAAUACAAAAAAACAGUAAUCCUGAAUGAUUAAUUUAGAAGAAGUUAUAAUUGAUAAUAUUAUAAAUAGUAAGUUUUCAGCAUUAUUUACUUUCCGUUGUUCACAACUUAGUAGACCUAAAUUAGUAACUAUAUUAGAAUAUCUUAAAAAUCAGUCGAGAAUAAUACAUAAAGGAGUUCCAAUUACCGGAAUCAAAAUUCGAGUAGUUGAGGGAUUGAUAGAAGAAGUUUAGAAGUAUUUACAUUUUCUUAGAAAGAUUUAGCAAAUCUAGCAGAAAGACCAUUUUUGUACUAAGUUUGGUGUGAAUAUCACUACUAAUAGCAUAAACAUUAAUAGAUCUCACCGUAAAUACACCAAACUUGGCAAACUUUAGGUCCUUAGUGGUGUGGUUAAGGUGGUAUGCCUGACUAUUGAAGUAUUUAUGUAGGUCUUCAUUGGUUUAACUGAGGUGGUGCUACAAAAAGUUAUGUCAAAAAAGACUACAGAGCAGAGAAUGACAAGGGUAUUUUUGUAAUUUUUGGAUAUUUUUGUAAUUUUUGCAUUAAAAGGGAUGGUAAAAUAGCUAGAGUUAAAAGCAAUGGAUGCACUUUUAUCACAAAUAUCCUAAAGCACACUAAACAAACAGAGGGAGUCACUGUGCAAGCAUUUCAUUUUCACUUUCGAAAUUCUACUUUACUCCUAAAUAGUAACAGAGGUUAAACCAAAAUAUGUCCAAUAAAAUAUCAUUUGAUAUACUCAUAGAGAUUUUCUCCAGACAACCAAUGAAGAGUUGAAUCUCUUACAAUUCAAAUGUACUUCCAAAACAUGCUACCAUGUUUUCCAU
rnacentral:lncRNA from 1 species